rnacentral:rRNA from 1 species
GACGAACGCUGGCGGCGUGCUUAACACAUGCAAGUCGAACGGAAAGGCCCUGCUUUUGUGGGGUGCUCGAGUGGCGAACGGGUGAGUAACACGUGAGUAACCUGCCCUUGACUUUGGGAUAACUUCAGGAAACUGGGGCUAAUACCGGAUAGGAGCUCCUGCUGCAUGGUGGGGGUUGGAAAGUUUCGGCGGUUGGGGAUGGACUCGCGGCUUAUCAGCUUGUUGGUGGGGUAGUGGCUUACCAAGGCUUUGACGGGUAGCCGGCCUGAGAGGGUGACCGGCCACAAUGGGACUGAGAUACGGCCCAGACUCCUACGGGAGGCAGGAGGGGGGAAUAUUGGACCAUGGGGGGAAGCCUGAUGCAGCAACGCCGCGUGCGGGAUGAAGGCCUUCGGGUUGUAAACCGCUUUCGGCCGGGACGAAGCGUAAGUGACGGUAAUUGGUAAAGAAGCACCGGCUAACUACGUG